rnacentral:rRNA from 1 species
GCGCAAUGGGCGGAAGCCUGACGCAGCGACGCCGCGUGAGGGAUGACGGCCUUCGGGUUGUAAACCUCUUUCAGCUCCGACGAAUUUGACGGUAGGAGUAGAAGAAGCACCGGCCAACUACGUGCCAGCAGCCGCGGUAAUACGUAGGGUGCGAGCGUUGUCCGGAAUUAUUGGGCGUAAAGAGCUCGUAGGCGGUCUGUCGCGUCGAAUGUGAAAACCCGGGGCUCAACUCCGGGCUUGCAUUCGAUACGGGCAGGCUAGAGUUCGGUAGGGGAGUCUGGAAUUCCUGGUGUAGCGGUGAAAUGCGCAGAUAUCAGGAGGAACACCGGUGGCGAAGGCGGGACUCUGGGCCGAUACUGACGCUGAGGAGCGAAAGCGUGGGGAGCGAACAGGAUUAGAUACCCUGGUAGUCCACGCCGUAAACGUUGGGCGCUAGGUGUGGGGGUCCUUCCACGAUCUCCGUGCCGCAGCUAACGCAUUAAGCGCCCCGCCUGGGGAGUACGGCCGCAAGGCUA